rnacentral:rRNA from 1 species
UACGUAGGGUGCGAGCGUUAAUCGGAAUUACUGGGCGUAAAGCGUGCGCAGGCGGUUCGUCAAGUCUUGUGUGAAAGCCCCGGGCUCAACCUGGGAAUGGCAUGGGAAACUGGCGAGCUGGAGUGCGGCAGAGGGGGGUGGAAUUCCGCGUGUAGCAGUGAAAUGCGUAGAUAUCGGGAGGAACACCUGUGGCGAAAGCGGCUCACUGGACCACAACUGACGCUGAUGCGCGAAAGCUAGGGGGAGCAAACAGGG